AAGUGUACCACAGUGCUUCAUUCUAGUGAAAGCGUCGUACAAAAACCUCCGUCACACUCAAAUGAACACAAACUCCAGCAGAGAAAGAGACGAACGACACUCACACACACUGAUAUGAGACUCAACAGCAGCUCUUCUCAACAUUAAAUAAUGAUUAUUGGACUGAAGUGACUUUCACAGAAACAGCCUCAUCAUCUCUAAAUGUCUCUUGAUGCAUGAAAACUAUUAAAUCUGAAUAAAUAAUAUAAUCAGAAAGACUCUGUACUGAUCAUCACACAUCUGAACUCAGGGUUUUUGCUCAGAGAGUCACUUUGCAUCGGCUCAUGCUUCAGCGCUCCGAGUGUUUAUAGCGUUCAGACUCAAACACUUUAUAACACACUGCUGUUUACCACGGUACAAACCCAACAAACACCAUGAAUCUCUUCAGCAGCUUCAUCUGGAUUCUGGCAGCUUUUAUUCCAGGAUCCAGAGGAAUCACUGUGACUCAGCCUGAAGCUGUGACUGUUUCUGAAGGACAAAACGCCAAAAUAGAGUGUAAAACUGAUACUGGGAUAAGUGGAUAUGGUUUAGCUUGGUAUCAGCAGAAAAAUGGAGAAGCUCCUAAACUCAUCAUUUAUCUGGUAAAUGAACUCUAUGAUGAGAGUUUAAGCCGAUUCAGUGGGAAUGGAGAAGAAGAUGGGACAGAUUUCACUCUGACCAUCAGUGGAGUCCAGACUGAAGAUGCUGGACAUUAUUACUGUCAGAGUGUACAUGAAAUCAACAGUAAAUAUGUGUUCACACAGUGAUAAAGAGUCGUACAAAAACCUCCGUCAGUCAGAGUCACAGUGACUGAACUGAUACUGCAGCUGCUCACACACUUUCACACACUUUCACACACACUCAACAGUGAAGAAAAACUCAAUAUGAUCUUAUUGAACAUCACUUUUGUUGAGAUUCAUCAGUUUUUAACCUUUUUGAUUGUGAUUUUUUUUAGAAGACAUGUUUUUCUCCUGCUAACAUUCUUUAUGUAGAAAUUCAGUCACUUUUGAUCUUCAUUGAUCUUCAGAUAUUUUUCCAUUCUUCACCACAUUUUUUGAUUUUCUGCAUUUAUAAUUUAUCCUCAUUCUUCUUUCUAAACUGAAUCAUCAUCAGCAUCAUAAACAUGUUCUUCUUGAUCAGUUUAAUAAUCUAUUGAUUUAUUACCUUCAUCCCUCACAAUGCAGAAAUUAACAGCAUCAUAUAAACACAUUCCU